rnacentral:lncRNA from 1 species
CAAGGAAGGAGAAUGGUGCUGGCUACCAAUUUUGCUACACUCAUUCUAACAAUGAGUCGAGUUCUCAUUGCUGAGCUAAGCAGUGCUGGCCAAUCCCCUAUGCCUUCAUGUGACUUCUUAUCACAGUGAUGAUGCAAUUGUCAGAAGACUAAACAAGGCAGCAGGCCAGAAUCUAAUAGCCAAAACCACUCUGUAGCCUUCCAUAUGGACAAAUAGUGCUUCUGAGCUCUAAUCUACUCCCCUGAGCCACUUGAUUGCCUGAUUCCCAAGUGACAGUGCUGGGAAUUUCAGGGUCUCCUUUUCAAAAAAAAAAAAAAAUUGGUAAACAAGAAGAAAGGGGACAUUAGGGAGAAGAGACUAAGAAAAUUCUGAGGGAAUGGGGUAAGGGAAUUUGGGGGCAAGGUCAGAGGCCAAAAAAGCAGGAGGCAAAGUCAAAGCUGGCAUUUCUUGUCCUCAAAACAGGAUUGUGCUGGAGAAACUGGGAUAGAGGCCAUUCGGUGUCCAAAUCCUACUAUUCUUUUCCAACUAGCCAGGUGACGGUUGUGCGCAAAAUAGUUAAGGAAAAAGCGGAGCCAUUCUUUUUCCUUGGUGGGCUGGAAUGUUCCCUGUUGAUAGCCUUUGAUGUUGCUCUUUUUGGUUUCUAGACACUGAUCGGCCUUGUGCUCUUCACCAAGACUAUAGAUAAGAAAUUUUUGGAGAAACUCAAGAUCAUUUUAAGACAAGGUGGCUUAGUAUGCUCUACGGCAGGGGCGGCCCAGCCUAAUGAACUGAAGAGCUGCCAUCCAAAAGCUUAAUGGGGCUGAGAAUCACAGAACAAGUGGAAGGUGGCUGUGCUCUGCACACAGUAAGCGCUCAAUAAAUACGAUUGAAUGAAUGACUACAGGCCCUAAGGAUUUAUAAUCCUAAGGAGUGAGGCCAAAGAACUGGAGAAAGGUGCAGACCAAAGCAGCCAGUGACCGAAUGUGAUACAGCAGACAAAGCUAUGGCUGGGAACCAAUGAACGGAUCUCAGGGGCCAGCGCCUACGGAAUCAGAAACCAACCAAGAAAAACAAAAGAUCAUGCAGAUGGGCCAAAGAAGUGGCAUGUCAGACUGUGAAGCCACUGACCUCUUCCCUUGCCAGGCACAGACAACCACCGGAAUCCAGAAAAGGCCCACACACAAGAGAUCCACCAAUUCUGGAAGGUGAAUAUCAUUGACCUGAACAUGGCAGAGAUGCCAUGGGGAAUGUCAUGUGUCAUUUUCCCCUUUGCGAAAUAAAAUGGGAAAAAAAAUGAGAAAAUGGAGGAUUUC